AGAGUUUGAUCCUGGCUCAGAGUGAACGCUGGCGGCGUGCUUAACACAUGCAAGUCGAACGAGAACGGAACUAACUUGUUAGUUUGUCAGCUAAGUGGCGCACGGGUGAGUAAUGUAUAGAUAACAUGCCCUAUAGUAAGGGAUAACAAUUAGAAAUGAUUGCUAAUACCUUAUAUGCCUUUUAGACACAAGUCUGUAAAGGGAAAGAUUUAUCGCUAUAGGAUUGGUCUGUAUAGUAUCAGUUAGUUGGUAAGGUAACGGCUUACCAAGACUAUGACGCUUAACUGGUUUGAGAGGAUGAUCAGUCACACUGGAACUGAGACACGGUCCAGACUCCUACGGGAGGCAGCAGUGGGGAAUAUUGCACAAUGGGCGAAAGCUUGAUGCAGCAACGCCGCGUGGAGGAUGACACAUUUCGGUGCGUAAACUCCUUUUAUAUCCCAAGAUAAUGACGGUAGGAUAUGAAUAAGCUCCGGCUAACUCCGUGCCAGCAGCCGCGGUAAUACGGAGGGAGCAAGCGUUACUCGGAAUCACUGGGCGUAAAGAGAAUGUAGGCGGUUAAUUAAGUUAGAAGUGAAAUCCUAUAGCUCAACUAUAGAACUGCUUCUAAAACUGAUUAACUAGAAUAUGGGAGAGGUAGAUGGAAUUUCUGGUGUAGGGGUAAAAUCCGUAGAGAUCAGAAGGAAUACCGAUUGUG
rnacentral:rRNA from 1 species